CUAAAAGCCGAAUAAGAAGAGCAACGAGCGUGCCACGUAGGAUUUUUUAUUCAGGCCAAUCAUGAAGCUCUGUUUUGCCACGUCACUUUUAUUUUGUCGACAAAAAAUUUAAAAGGUCCAGUAAAUCUGGGCUGAACAAAAAAAAAUAGACCUAUAUAGAACAGCCCAUAUCUUAUUCUACGCAGAAUGUUCGUCGCCUUCAACUCCGACUCUUCCAAUUCACUAUUCUAAUCUCUGCAAUCUCUCUGUAAUUAUUACACCCCAAUCUUGCUCAUUCAAUUCUGAUAUUUUCUCCUAUCUUCAUUAGAGAUUAUCGUUCCACCUUCCUUUGUUUUUCCUGUUAUAUAAACCCCUUGAUGAUAUGAUAAGACAGGUCCGUUAACUAUUGUCAUUCCAGCCUGAGUUAUCUAAAAUAUGAACCCUCGAUUCCAGAUUCAUAACACAAUGACAAUUUGUUGUUCUCUACAUUUGAAAGUCAGUCGUAGAACUCGGCCUCACGCUGGUGCUGAUCGUCUUCUCCGUCGUCGUUUUAGAAGCUUGGAGAAGGAGACACAGUAACGUUUCUGUCGACACCGUGACAACUACACUCGAGGGUCCUACAUCUUAAAAACAGGUACUGUCUGAAUUCAAUAUAUUUUUUCUGGGAUUUUUCUGUUAGUGUGUUUACAGUUAAUGGAACUGAGAAAAGGUCUUGCCUUUGAAUCCUAUUAGCCUAUAGAACGUUUAAAGACGAGAGCUUUGACAUUAUUAUUAUUAUUAGUAUUUGUAGGAGAGUUUGUCUAACGAUGUGUGUUGUUUAAGAAAUAAAAGAGUAAAACAGACAGAUCGUGGAUGCGCAGUUGUAUGAUAAUAAUUUCAAGAGAGGAGCAAGCAAAAAGCUUCACUUGAGAAGGAAAUUCAUCAUACUGUCGGUAGAAAGAUAAGAAGAAAAGUUGAUGACGAGAUCAACAACAGAUUGAGUUUGGGAACACUUUUCUUCCAGCCUAACUUCCUGGUUACGGUUGAGCAGAUUCUUGAAGAUGCUCCCAAAGUCUUAGAUCUGCGAUUGGCUACUUUAUGAAAUCCAUUGAAGGGACAUGCUGGAUUAUCUAAUGAUGAUAAAGACGAAAACGGAAGGACUCUAGAGGUACAUGAAAUUAUCGAUACCUUUUUGAUGUAUCUUAAUACGGGUCAUGAAUCCUCUGGACACACGCAUUAUUUGGGCUACCCCCUCAGAUACUACAGAAGAUAAAUGUAAAAUAAUAAUAUAUGUUUAUAUAAUCCUUUUCCAUUUAUUUUUACAAGCUUGAAUAGUAAUUUUCCUUAUAUACACAGGGAUAACAAGAUGCGAUUGUUAAAAACUAAGCAGUGUACCAGAAAUUGAGUAAAAAACAGAGACGUACAAAUGUACAAUGACUUACUACUACCUUUCUCAGGCGUCUCAUUGCAAAACAAGUUUAAGGCGUCUAAAAUUAAUACAUCUUAUUUAUAGGGAAGCUAAUGUUUGCUUCAUCAUCGGUGACACAAUUUUACUUUGGCAACACAAUACAAAUCAUUAGAGACUUCAGAAGCAUGAUAAGAGUCAAGUUUAAUGCAUGAGUUUGAACAAAACAACACCAAACUCAGAGGAUGAUCUUCAAGAAAACUUAACUAAAAUCAACAUUUCAAGUCUUUCAGACUGUCUAAUAAUUUAGAUAGCAUAAUCAGUCGUCUAAGUAUAAAAU